CAGUAGCCGCGGGAAUACGAAGGUGGCUAGCGUUGUUCGGAAUUACUGGGCGUAAAGCGCACGUAGGCGGAUAUUUAAGUCAGGGGUGAAAUCCCAGAGCUCAACUCUGGAACUGCCUUUGAUACUGGGUAUCUUGAGUAUGGAAGAGGUGAGUGGAAUUCCGAGUGUAGAGGUGAAAUUCGUAGAUAUUCGGAGGAACACCAGUGGCGAAGGCGGCUCACUGGUCCAUUACUGACGCUGAGGUGCGAAAGCGUGGGGAGCAAACAGGAUUAGAUACCCCGGUAGUCCCUGUCUCUUAUAC
rnacentral:rRNA from 1 species